rnacentral:rRNA from 1 species
UUGCCAGCCCGCUCAGAACUUAAAGGAAUUGACGGGGGCCCGCACAAGCGGAGGAGCAUGUGGUUUAAUUCGAUGAUACGCGAGGAACCUUACCUGGGCUCGAACGUAAGAUGACUGUAGGUGAAAGCUUACAUCUCUUCGGAGCAUUUUACGAGGUGCUGCAUGGUUGUCGUCAGCUCGUGCCGUGAGGUGUCGGGUUAAGUCCCAUAACGAGCGCAACCCCUACCUUUAGUUGCCAUCAGGUUAAGCUGGGGACUCUAAAGGAACUGCCUACGCAAGUAGUGAGGAAGGCGGGGAUGACGUCAAAUCAGCACGGCCCUUACGUCCAGGGCUACACACGUGCUACAAUGGCCGAUACAGAGGGCAGCUACCUGGUGACAGGAUGCAAAUCUCCAAAGUCGGUCUCAGUUCGGAUCGGAGUCUGCAACCCGACUCCGUGAAGUUGGAUUCGCUAGUAAUCGCGCAUCAGCCAUGGCGCGGUGAAUACGUUCCCGGGCCUU